CCCUUAGAUGUUCUGGGCCGCACGCGCGCUACACUGAUGCAUUCAACGAGUUUCUUCCUGGUCCGAGAGGAAUGGGUAACCUUUUGAAAGUGCAUCGUGAUAGGGAUAGACUAUUGCAAUUAUUGGUCUUCAACGAGGAAUUCCUAGUAGACGUAGUUCAUCAGACUGCAUCGAUUACGUCCCUGCCCUUUGUACACACCGCCCGUCGAUCCUACCGAUUGAAUGCUCAGGUGAGCCAUUCGGACUUUCAUCAUGCUGGUUUCCAGUUUUGAUGAAGGAAAGUCUUGCGAACCUUAUCAUUUAGAGGAAGGAGAAGUCGUAACA
rnacentral:rRNA from 1 species